ACCAGACUCCUACGGGAGGCAGCAGUGGGGAAUAUUGGACAAUGGGGGGAACCCUGAUCCAGCGACGCCGCGUGAGUGAAGAAGUAUUUCGGUAUGUAAAGCUCUAUCAGCAGGGAAGAAGAUGACGGUACCUGACUAAGAAGCCCCGGCUAACUACGUGCCAGCAGCCGCGGUAAUACGUAGGGGGCAAGCGUUAUCCGGAUUUACUGGGUGUAAAGGGAGCGUAGACGGCAUGGCAAGUCAGAUGUGAAAGCCCGGGGCUCAACCCCGGGACUGCAUUUGAAACUGUCAGGCUGGAGUGCAGGAGAGGUAAGUGGAAUUCCUAGUGUAGCGGUGAAAUGCGUAGAUAUUAGGAGGAACACCAGUGGCGAAGGCGGCUUACUGGACUGUAACUGACGUUGAGGCUCGAAAGCGUGGGGAGCAAACAGGAUUAGAUACCCGAGUA
rnacentral:rRNA from 1 species